rnacentral:rRNA from 1 species
UGCGUAGGCGGAUAAAUAAGUCAGUGGUGAAAUCUUUCGGCUCAACCGGGAAACUGCCAUUGAUACUGUUUAUCUUGAGUACGGUAGAGGUAGGCGGAAUGUGUAAUGUAGCGGUGAAAUGCUUAGAUAUUACACAGAACACCAAUUGCGUAGGCAGCUUACUAGACCGACACUGACGCUGAGGCACGAAAGCGUGGGGAGCGAACAGGAUUAGAUACCCUGGUAGUCC